CGGACCACAUGAAGAUUGCAAUCUUCCACCUCACCUUCCUCUCAGCCAACGAUGAACCGUUCUACGUUUUCCUUGAUCAGCAUAUAAAAUAGUUUUGAUCUGUCGUCUUCACACUUCACGCAUCCACAUGUCUCCAGUCUCCCUCUCCCCUCACUCUCAGUCUGAAGAAGGAUCUCGACCCGAAACAUCACCCAUUCCUUCUCUCCAGAGAUGCUGCCCGACCCGCUGAGUUUCUCAGGCAUUUUGUGUCUAUCUUAAGAGUUAAUGGUGUUUUUUUACUGGAUUUGGCUCAGCUUCAUGCACCUCCAAGCCGAAGAACCAAAGCGAUUUGUGGGAAGUCAUUUUAUUCUUCAUCAGUGAUCUACAGUGCGCUGAAUGCAAAGGCACAAGGAUCGGAAUCAACGGGAACUUUUCAAAGGGAAUUGGAUAAAGACUGGGGUGCGUAGGAAGGAACUGCAGAUGCUGGUUUUCCGAAGAUAGAUGUACUGCAGCAAAUAUCCCAAUCAGUUGCCCGGAGGCUGCAGAGAGUGGUGGUCUCAGCCUGGUCAAUCACCGAAACAGAUGUCUCCAUCAUCAAAAACAUCUACAUGAGAUGCUGCCUCAGGAAGGUGGCAUCUGUCAUCAAGGUUCCCAACCAAUAGGUUAAGGUCCUCUUCUCGCUACUGCCUUCAAGCAAGAGGUACAGAAGCCUGAGAUCACACACCACCAGGUUCAGGAAGAGCUACCUUCCUACAACUAUGGAUAGGGAAGAUUUAGAAAGAUAUGGGCCAAAUGCAGGCAGGUGAAAUGGAGCAUCUUGGUUGGCAUGGGCAAGUGGAGCUGAAGGGCCUGUUUCUGUGCUGUUAAUUGAAUUGUUUAAAUUAAUUUAAACAAUGAACCUGGAUUAAACUAGAGGACAUUUCCGUUAAUCUAGCACUGUGAAGGAACCGAGGCUUGGAUCACAGCAAGGAAGGAGGAAAGUCUAUCCUGGCCUGGAUCUCACAGGAAGCAAAUGAAGGGAGGGAGAAAAAUACUGAGAUGUUGCCUGAUCUGCUGAGCAUUUUCUGAUUUUAUUGGGGACUCAUAAGGAGACACAAGGAACUGCUGAUGCUGGAAUCUUGGGCAAAACGCAACA